rnacentral:lncRNA from 1 species
CUGAUGCUAGCUCCCUGUUAGCUGUUAGCUGGACUACGAUCGUAUUAAAGGUUGAAGGAGCGGAUGAUUUAUUAUUAGCGUCUCUUUUCUCGUCUGUACUUGUUCAUGUACAACAGUCACAGGUCUGCUAGUCGUCGCUGGUGCUGACCUGUUUGUUGACUUUAAGCUCUCACAACAAGGCAAAAGAUAUAAAAAGUAAUGAGGACAUAAUGAAGUAUAAAAGCUUAACUGUAACUCUCAGCUAAAUACAUUGACUCAAAUACUUCACUUCAGGACACAUUUAAGGGCAGAGCAACGUGUAGCGUGUGUACAGUAAAUACAGCCGACUGUUAGCUGAGAAUAAAUCAAGGCGACAACGAUAACCUCCAUCUUUAAUUUGAGGGUGUUCACAUCACAUCAGAAAAAACAGCAGGAACAGUCUCUCAUGUUUCUGUUCUGUCAUGUUUCUGUGUAACAGAGAUGUCGGAUACUUCAGAGAAAAAGUGGAAACCAACUCUGACUAAAAUCCUGGAGGAGCUGGACAACAAACAGUACAGAAAGACAAUGGAAUAUUUGGACAAAGUUCCCAAAGGUCAGAAGAAAGGCAGAUCUUUUGCAACGAUGGCCCAAAAAAUAAUUGAGCGCUACGGACAUGACGAAUCAAUUUCUACAAUACAUAAAAUCAUGGAAGAGAUACCGAGGAAGGAUCCGAGGAUGCAGGAACUGUUGGGCCCCUUUGUUGAAGAACUGAGGAGCAAAAAUGAAAAAGGGAGAAAAGGAAAGAAGAGAAAGUGUGAUUCAGUGGAGAAGGAAGACAAUCCUCCAGCAGAGAUGUCGGAUACUUCAGAGAAAAAGUGGAAAGCAACUCUGACUAAAAUCCUGGAGGAGCUGGACAACAAACAGUACAGAGAGACGAUGGAAUAUUUGGACAAAAUCCCCGGAAGUCAGAAGAAAGGCAGAUCUGAAGCAACGAUGGCCCAAAAAAUCAUUGAGCGCUACGGACAUGAUGAAUCAAUUUCUGCAAUACAUAAUAUCAUGGAAGAGAUACCGAGGAAGGAUCCAAGGAUGCAGGAACUGUUGGGCCCCUUUGUCGAAGAACUGAGCAGCAAAAAUGAAAAAGGGAGAAAAGGAAAGAAGAGAAAGUGUGAUCCAGUGGAGAAGGAAGACAAUCCUCCAGCAGGAAAGAAGAGGAAAUGUGAUCAAGUGGAGAAGAAGAAGAAAAAGCCUGCAGAAGGUCAAAAGAGCAGCCAGCCUGUCAAGGAGACAAACGCUGAUCGUUGGAAGAAAUCCAUCCGUGAGCUGAAGUCCAGCAGUGCACUUCUUGACACUGAUGGCAUUGUUGGGAAAGUUGUUCAGAAAUCUGGUGUGCGCAGUUAUCGAACCAAAGAAAAUGUUAAAAAGUAUUUUUUUUAUCUGGCAGUCGCUGAUGAGACGGCCAGCAUGAAAUUGAUGGUGUAUGGAAAACCAUUCUAUAAACAAAUCAUGGAAAAAAAGACCUACAUGUUCAGAAAGCUAACAAAAGACGAGAAAGGUUUUAUUAAGCUUCGCGCACAGAGUAAAUUCUCAAAGAAGAGAAAACCUGUUCAAGUUCCAGACAAGCUCGAGACGGAAGCUCGGGAGCUGAUUUAUCCCAAGUGUCCAGAUUACUCCAUUGCUGAAGCCAAACUGUCUGCUGACAUCCGUGUGACUGUUAAAGGAACCAUUACAAAGGUUCAAAGUGGCAGCCAGAGUGAGAAAAUUAAGAUUGAAGGAAUCGCAAAAGCCACAAAGAAGGAGACUCACCUGGACGCAUUUUUCAGAAGCAGGAUGCACAGGUGUGUCGUAGCUUCUCGACUUCUGGCAAAGGCUUUUGGCUUCAAACUGGAGGGUGAUAUAAAAGAAAAGCUCCUUGACAUCAUUCCAAUGUCAGCAGACGCAGUAAUACAAGGAGGUCAAAUAAAAGAACUCACAGCCGCUCCAGUGAAAUAAUCUAUGAUGCUGAUAAUGUAACUGUGUGUGUUUCAGUGCAAAGUACUGUGACACUUCUUCUCUUUUCGCUUUUAAUGUUUUUUUAAAAUAAAUGUGUUAAUGUUUUUUUGUGUCGUUGUGUCACACAUACGGGUGCAACAUUUAAAUUAUGUUAAUGAAAAUGUCAGAUACUUUAUACUUAAACUUUUUAUUAUGUUCGUUUUUUAAGAAAACACGUCAAGGUGUCGACUCCAGAAACCUUCAGAAGAAACACAAAUGUUAACGUGUGUUCAGGCUGUUUGUUAUUAAUGCUGCUGUGGAUCAAACUGAAAGAUGUUUAAUGUUACAAACAUUAUGGUGGAUGAUCCUUUGCAAUAAAGUGUGUGUGAAUGUAAACAAAGAGAUAAUUGUCUUUAUUUAUAGAAUUAAAUAAAUCGUUCUUUGUUUGAAUGAAGGCUGGUGUGAAGUCUCCUGUUAGUUACAUUUAAACAGUUUUUUGAUUUUAUGGCUCAACAGUUAACUAAUUAAUAAACUUUUUCAUAAUAAACACUGAAUGUUUCACCAGGAAGCAGUUUUUGAUGAGUGUAAAGUUCAGUCUGUGGAGUCUGACAGAGACGCUGAGUUGACAAAUCAUGUUUUUAUAUAAACUAUCUGUAAAGUUCUCAAAUAAAUGUAGUGGAGUGGUGCGAGUGUCACGCUGAAGAACAUGGAAAUACUCAACUACUUCACAAUUGUACUAAAGUGAAUGUACUGAUAAGAAGUACUGUUCAC